GACAGGUAGUGCAAACGUUGUUUGGAAUGAUUGGGUGUAAAGGAUAUGUAGACUGCUUUCGUGUGAUUUUUUGUAAAAUAACCGGGAAGUGCACCUGUGUUGGCCAAAAUUUAUCCGAAAGCUUGGAGUCGAAAAAAAGUUGGGAGAAUUUCUUGUGCAAGGGUAGAAUCUCGAAAUAUUGGAAGGACUACCAAUUUUGUAGCGAAAGCCCCUUUCUAGCUUCGACUGACGUUGAGAUAUGAAAGGAUAGGGAUCAAACAGG
rnacentral:rRNA from 1 species